UCUUGGCCUCUGGUUGUUGUGUUUUGACUCGGUGUAGUGUGGAUGAUAUGCUUGUAAUCUGAGUUCUGUUGGGUAAGGUACGUUGAUAUAUGUGUAAUUUUUAUUGGUAUUUCCACCUGCGAUUAAGAUUCUUCCAUCGGUGAGAACAAUGGCUGACGAGUGGUACAUUCUUGCUAUUUUAGUUGAUCUCAGGAUUGAGAAUCUUCUGUUCAGUUGGUUUUUGGGCUUGUAGAGAUAGGGUCGAAGGGACGCGUUUCUUGCAUUCCCCCAUCCUGCACAACCGGUUUUAGCUCCAUUGAUGAUCAAGAUAUUGCCUGUGGGAAGGAUUAGCAUAUCGUGUAAGAGCCGAGGUUCUGGCAUGUUUUCCAUAUUCCAUUUAUGCCUGUUCCCAGUGAUCACCAUUCUUCCGCAUGAUCGCAGACCUUUCAUGAACUGCCCACGUCGUGCUGCUCUGUAUGCUCCGGUAGCAGAGCCCCCAC
rnacentral:lncRNA from 1 species